rnacentral:rRNA from 1 species
CUGAGAGGACGACCAGCCACACUGGGACUGAGACACGGCCCAGACUCUUACGGGAGGCAGCAGUGGGGAAAUUUUGGACAAUGGGCGCAAGCCUGAUCCAGCUAUUCCGCGUGUGGGAUGAAGGCCCUCGGGUUGUAAACCACUUUUGUAGAGAACGAAAAGACACCUUUUAAUAAAGGGGUGCUGACGGUACUCUAAGAAUAAGC